CUUCCUUGGGAUUGGAGAGGAAAGCAGGGCACAGAAUGAUAACCUAGAUCAGGGGGUCCCAACCACUUUUAUGCCAUAGACCAAUUCCAUUAAGCAAGGGGUCCAUGGCCCAUAGGUGACCUCGAUGGUCACAGAGAGCAGCACCUGGAUCAAGACCAAACGUGAGCCGGUGGCACGAACUGUGGCACUUCCACCUUAACCCAUUCAGUUCUGGUUCCUCGUGUGUGCACUCCAGUUGCAUUCAGAUAGACUACCGUUUUAAAACUAAAAAAUAAUAGAAUUAAAAAGGUUUUAUGCACAUAUAUUUGCUUCAAAUUUAAUUGGGAAAAUAACAGCUUGAGCUGAAUUAAUUCCGACAGAUUGUUAACAUUUUCAAGUGUCUCUUAGUGACAGAGAGAGUCUAAACGAAUCCUGGACACUCCACUGAAGGAACAUCUCAUGGAAGGACUUUGCCAUAAAUAGCACCAUUAUCCACUCAGACAAGCCCAAGAGCCAUUAAAUACCAGAAAAAAAAAUCAUGGAACAUGGAGAAAAACAUGCAGUGGUAAACCCAACUUCUGGGGGGAAAAAGCGUGAAUUUUCUCAAAUCACUUCACUUUCCCGAAUGCCACAACUUCUAGAAGAGACCUUGAUGUUUCCAGUUGCUUAAACCCCAAAGAUGGAAAAAAUAAAAUGUAACACUAUCUCAGCGUCGAAAGCAAAUUUUACCUCACUGUACAGUUCAGUGAUGGCAUGGUAUUACAUUUUACCAGAAUAAAUGAAGCAGAAAACAUAAACACUUUGAAAGAAAUAGAAAGCAACUAGCAGAAAUGUUCAGAUCAACCUUGAACAAGACUUAUAGGAAAUGCUAAUGGCCUGGAACUAACGUCAUGCAGAAAGAAAGCCAUGUUUUCCCCUGCAACAGUUCAAUUGCUUAGUAACACUGAGGCUUUAUAAAGCACUGGUGAGGCCUCACCUGGAGUAUUGUUUGCAGUUUUCUGCCAAUUAUCUAAGAAAGGAUGUUCUGACAUCUGAGAGGGUUCAAAGGAGUUUUAUGAGAACGAUUACGGGAUUGAAAGGCUCGUCAUAUGAGGAGCGUUUGAUGGCUCUGGGCCUCUACUCACUGGAAUUCAGAGGAAUGAGGGGUGACCUAAUUGAAACCUAUUGAAUGGUGAAAGGCCUUGAUAGAGUGGAUGUGGAAAGGAUAUUUCCUGUGGUGGGGAUGUCUAAGACCAGAGGACACAGCCUCAGAAUAGAGGGGUGUCCUUUUAGAGUGAGGAUGUGGCCAGAGAGUGGUGAAUUAUGGAACUUGUUGCCACAGUCAGCUGUAGAGGCCGUCAUUGGGUAUAUUUAAGGCUGAGGUUGAUAGAUUCUUGAAUAGUCAGGGCAUGAAGGGAUAGGGGAAGAAGGUAGGAGUUUAGGGCUGAGAAGGAAAAUGGAUCUGCCAUGAUAAAAUGGCGGAGCAGGCUCCAAGACCCAAAUGGGCCUAAUUCUGCUCCUAUAUUUUACGGUUUUAUAAGAAAGGCUUUAGGCAAAUUCUGUAAGUUAGUCAGCACUUAAAGCAGACAUGACAGGAGUAGAACUUGGCUCAGGCAAUACUGUACUACUGAUCAGUUCGGCCACCUAGUGCACACAAGGCUUAGAAUUCAGUUGUAUUACAAUCAAUAUGAACAUCACUCAAAUAGCUCUUCUUCAGUAUCACAGUUGAGAUGUAUGCAUGCUUCAAACUGACACUUUUACCAAAUUAUUCGUUAGAACAAUGCAGCAACCAGAUUUGAAUUAACUUAAGGAAUGCUGUGGUCGCUGGAACUGUUUGGGCCCUGCGGCGCGGAGAGCCGCGACAAUGCUUGGAUGAGCGUUGCAAUAACAACAGAAAAUGACUCAGCAACUCUGCAGUAUCUGCGGAAAGGUUCCUUCAGUCCAGCAGUUUUGUUUCUUGUCUGCUUGGAGACUUCACUCCAUUAGCUGUGAAGCACUUAAAUUUUGAGAAUGUGGAAGGUGCUCUUGAGAUGCACGCUUGCUUUGAGUAAUGAUCGGUGCAACUAGACUGUAAAAUGACCACAAUUAAUUGACUGUUGAAAAUUAUAAAGCUGCUGUUACUAAUAGAAGGGUUGUUAUUUCUGAUACUCAGACAAAGGGAAAGUCCAUAAUCAUGGCAAUUAUAAAUUUUAGUACUGAAAUUAUUUACAGUCAGAAAUAAUGGGAUGUGCAAGACUUGGAGAAUUUUUAUAACGGGCAUAAGCCCAAAAAAGUUUUGAGAGCCAUUGCCUUCUCCUUACUGCCUCAAGCUAUUUCAACAAUCCAUCUGCCUGCUGUUCUCAAUAGUGGAAAAUAGUCCAUCUGUAAACGAGACAGAUUUAUUACUGACUCUUAUUGCACUGCUAUUCAAAAGAAAAUUCCAGGUCUUUCUGACCCAGACCUAAACAAUUGAAUCAGAACUUUAGAUCAAGCAACACACACGUUACAAAUGGCUGCAGCUUUUGCCAUAGAACCAAUCACAAUUCAAAUUCUCCAGACAUCAUCAUUGUGCCAGAUUAUCAACCAAUCACAAUUCAAAUUCUCCAGACAUCAUCAUUGUGCCAGAUUAUCAACCAAUCACAAUUCAAAUUCUCCAGACAUCAUCAUUGUGCCAGAUUAUCAACCAAUCACAAUUCAAAUUCUCCAGACAUCAUCAUUGUGCCAGAUUAUCAACCAAUCAGAACUCAAAUUCUUCUGACGUCAACAUUGUGUGCAUCUCAAGACCAGACAUAAUGUCAAUUGUGUCUAAAUGCCAGUCAUUGGGUACUAAAGACAGGCCAGAGGCCUACGCAGGUGAUCAGAGACCCAGGAAAAAUCAAAAUGGAGAACUCUACACCAAGUUGUAAGGUACCUAGCUUAAUGUAAGAAUCACCUGCAGAAAGUAAAUGAAUGGCAAAAGAUUGAAAGAUGGGACAAAAGAAGCAAAGACAUACUUAAGGAACAUCUCUAAUAUUAGCUAAAAUCGGAACGAAUUAGAGGUUCACAUCUUGUACAAGUUUCAGGCUCUGAGGAAGUAUGGAAGAGAAAUGGAAGAGCUUGAAACACAGCAGGGAAGAUGGUGAGAGAACAGGACAAUGUUGGUCAAAAUAUAAUCAAAAUCUACAACUUCUGAGAAACCCGAUAUAAUAGAAAUACACAGAAUGACUGUCUGGGCAAACAUUUCAAACAUAAACCUUCCAUCAAAACUCAGCACUAUGUUCAUGGUCUCCAUCCAACCCACAAUCUCCUUAACCCCCACCAUCAUUCGGGAGGUACCAUAGCGUUAGGCCGAGUUGCCAACUUGAACCUCAACCCAACACGGAUGGAGAGCGGGCAAGGAGCCGGCCGGAUUCGAACCCGCGACCGCUCCCCUCAAAGUCCGGCGCAGACGCUACUACGCCACCGGCUGGCAACGUUUCAGAAAUACAGCAUGGUAACAAGGCCUUUCGGCCCAAUGAGCCUGCAAUGUCCAAUUACACACAUGUGACCAAUUGACCUACUAAACGACGCACAUAAAAGUGCUGGUGAACGCAGCAGGCCAAGCAGCAUCUCUAGGAAGAGGUACAGUCGACGUUUCGAGCCGAGACCCUUCGUCGGGACUCGGCCCGAAACGUCGACUGUACCUCUUCCUAGAGAUGCUGCCUGGCCUGCUGCGUUCACCAGCAACUUUGAUGUGUGUUGCUUGAAAUUCCAGCAUCUGCAGAUUUCCUCGUGUUGACCUACUAAACGAAACGUCUUUGGAAGCUGGGGGGGAAACCAGAGCAUCCAAAAGGAAAACACAGGUGGUCAUGGAGAGAAUGUACAAAUUCCUUACAGACAGCAACUGAAUUGAACCAGACUUGUUUGUUCUUCCAUUACUUUUCUGAACAUUGUGGGGUGGGGAGGAGAGCACAGAUUGCAGAGAGCAUUUGUAAAACUUUAUGCAGGUAAGCUGAGAAAGGCAAGCUAACAUUUGUCAGGUGAUCCUUCAGAACCACAUCUGCUGAAGCUGAAUACAAUACACCCACACACCAAACAGGUCACCGCCACGCCAACCUGAUAGAUGCGCAGUAAAAGCCAUAUGAUGCCAACACGAUGCAAAAAGUCUGGCCAAGUCAUUUCUGAUUUUAUGUCAUUGUCGCCAGGGGAAUUACUCUCAUUCCGGGGCACCUCCUGCACACGGAAUGCCUUGAGAGUGGGAAACCCAAUACUCUUCCCAGAGCUGUCAGUUAUCCAGCCGCAGAUCCCUACAAAAAUAUACAAGGAAAUGUACUGGCUCGGGUAUCUAUCCACACAAAAUACAGCUAGUCAAAACAGAAGUGUGGAGUUACUGAAGCAGGGACUGCUGUUAGCCAGUCCACGGUUAUUAUGAUCUAGCCAGCACCCCCCCCACCCACCCCCCGUGCUGCCUGACUAUCUACAGGGCCGCAGCAAUCUGCAUUUUAUUUCAGGUCUCUAGCGUCUGCAGUGUUUGAAUCGUUGACCGCCCAUUGGCGGAGAAAGGGUCACACCACUGUAGGUGUGGCAUACCUCCCGCCUGACAACCCAUAAUCCCCGUGUGCCAACCAUCUCUUAAAGUGGCUGCCCCCAUUAGCCAAAGUUUCAUGGAAAUUGUUAAAAAAGGUAUGAAAACAGGCAAACUACUGGUUAACUGAAUAAUAAAUUACAUAUUUAAAUGAAAUACAGAAUAAAUUCAAAGACUACUACAGUCCUAUAAAACUGUGUAUUAGUUCCUAAUAGUUAUCAACAGAGGAACUCAUCCAGUGUAUAGUAUCACAUUCUUUUGACUGUAAAACUAACAAUUAUCAGAAAUUUUAAUUUAUAUUAAAACAUUCUUAAAAAUCAGGUCACCUUCACUGUGUACUCUGAAUCCUUUCUUUGUAUUUUAAGCCAUUUUUUCCCCUCUGGCAAGGAUUGCUUUGAAUCUCUAAGUAAACUUCAACAGCUUCAAUUAGAAAAAUAGAACAGAAAUCCUUAAUUUACUACUUGCUAAUAUUUAGGAGCAGUCAUGAAAGUUGUUUCCUCCAAGAAGACCACAACCUUGUCAUAGGAUUUGAAGGCUUGCAUGUCUCAAUGACCCAGGAAGCUAUGCUGGCUGGAGUCAAGGCUUUAUGCUUUGCCUCUUGGUAGGGUCACCCAAAUAGGUCAAAGGGUAGAGGGCAGAGUAAGAGUGGUCAACCAGUUCUCCAGGUUUGGGCGUUCAGUUCGGGGCUAACAAGCCUGACUGGUAAAGCAAAAUUGUUACAAAAACAGCAGUAAAGAAUCCUUCAACUUCCGACUGGGAUGGUACUCCUGAGUCUCCACCCAGGACUCACAUGACCGACGGUGGUGAAAACCGAGGGGAAGUUACUGACAUGAUGAGCAACAUCAGAGAUAGAAGACCUUCAUUGCCGUCCCAAACACCAACAGCAUAACAGGUACGAAGAGAAGAGAGAAUCAAAGUUGAUAUUAAUGAUUUUGUACUCAAUUCUUGAUCAUCAUUUAGCAAUAAACCUUUGCAAAUAUGCUGCAAAAAUUCAACACAAGUAUAGUUUCUUCAAGACAGUGAUGACUGUUGGCUUAACAACUCCUAACGGCAAGAAAUCAGUUAUGUACUGACAGUCAAAGAGCAUGCUCUUUGAAGUUGCUCUGUUGCAAUCUCCACUUCGGACUUCCCCAUCAAAACAUGCCCUAACAAAUUAUAUGCUUAUGAACUUAGCAUGUCAGUCACCAUAAAAGAGCAUUCUUAAGGAGAGUACAAUUAAAGGACACAGCUUUAAGCAACAAGAAUAAAUUAGAUAUUAAUAAAUGAAUAAUCUUCACUGCAGACGUGCUGGUUUUGCACCUUGACAAAUAAAGUAAAAAAUAUAAACUGAAAUGUGUUGGAGUAAAAUUGAGCUCGCUGAAAUUGGCAGACAACCAAAGACAAUAUUUGGAAGUUGUCCAGUUUUCUUUAAAGCCCCGGGUGUCUAUGCUGCAAAUUUCUAAUUCCUUGUUCCCAGAUUAUACGGCAUACUGCUGGCUAGUUACCAAAUUCGUAGUUAAUAUCAUGUACCAUAGAAAUUAAAUAUUAAAGAAUCAGGAGGAAAAUGAGUCCAGCAAAUAUUGCUUUGAUGUCAUUUAUAUGCCUUUCAACAACCGAAGCACAUUAGAAUUGCUUAUUAAAUUAGUGCUAUGCAAAACUCCUUAAUCAAUGUGUCAUUAAAAGGUUGUCUAAGGUCAUGUUCAAUCAGAAUCAGGAUUAUUAUCACCAGCAUAUGACAUGAAACUUGUUAACUUAGCAGCAGCAGUUUAGUGCAAUAUAUAAUCCAGCAGAGAGAAAAACAUAAUAAUAAUAAAUAAGGGGAGGGAGGGGAGGGAGGGAACGUCGACUCAGAACAUGAGAGAGGGGCCCGCGUCAGGCAUUUUCAUGCCUUACAAGGCGCAGAUUGGAAGUCUGUGUGAGGCACCACUCCUCACACAGACACCAGAGCAAUGUGUGGAUGAAUGCCUUGCUCGAGGACACAAACAUGCUGCCACAGCUGAGGCUCGAACUAGCAACCUUCAGAUCUCUAGACGAACGCCUUAACUGCGAGCACGUGCCCAACACAAUAAAUAGUAAAGCACAAUAAUAAUUAAAAUAAAAUAAAACAUAAUAAUAACAAAUAAACAAGUAAAUCAAUUAUGUAUAUUGAAUAGAUUAAAAACAUACAAAAACAGAAAUACUGUAUAUUUAAAAUAAAACUGAGGUAGUGUCCAAAGCUUCAAUGUCCAUUUAGGAAUCGGAUGGCAGAGGGGAAGAAGCUGUUCCUGAAUCACUGAGUGUGUGCCUUCUGGCUUCUGUACUUUCUGUCUGAUGGUAACAGUGAGAAAAGGGCAUGCCCUGGGUGCUGGAGGUCCUUAAUAAUGAACGCUGCCUUUCUGAGACACCGCUCCCUAAAGAUGUCCUGGGUACUUUGUAGGCUAGUGCCCAAGAUGGAGUUGACUGGAUUUACAACCUUCUGCAGCUUCUUUCGGUCCUGUGCAGUAUCCCUCCAUACCAGACAGUGAUGCAGCCUGUCAGAAUGCUCUCCACGGUACAACUAUAGCAGUUUUUGAGUGUAUUUGAGUGAAAGAAUUGAUAUCAACUUUUUCAUCUCUGGUAAACUUUCACCCCACCUGUGAACAUGCCUGAGCUGUGUUUGGAUAGGGUACCUUAUAGAGGUAUCCGGUCCUUAGUUUCAUAGAAGUUAAUUUUCCUUGAUAGAACAUCGGUUGAUUCCUUUUGACAUCGUUCCCUCUAAUUUUUUUUCUAUAGCUGCACAGACCAAUCAUUGCUCUGAGCAGGAAAGUUUACAUGGCCUGUAAACAGCGUAGCUCUUUGAGUGUUUAAAUGUUAAGAUAAUUCCAGCUGCGUGGCAACAAAGGCUAUGUGCGCGGGAGCAUUUCCAUUGCCGUGUGGCCACACACUCGCACAACUUUGAGGGAGCAGUACGGCUUACUCUCACAUUAAUAAUUUCUCCUCCAAAUACCAUUUCUGUUCAUUGAUUUAUGUAAUAAGCUGCAUGUGGCGAUCUUCCAAGCAAAUAGUUCUUCAGGUAAACAUGGCUCAGCGUUCGGUAAAUGCUCUUCAACUUUCUUUAUUUUUAAUGUGUUCGGCCAACCAGGCAAUUUAAAUAUCUACUAGCUUCCAACUUACCAUGACAUCUGAAGUAAACCAACACCAGUUCAGAUGUUAUCAGAGAUUUCUAUAUACACUCCGAGGCACUCUGCCCAGCAACCCUUGAUUUAACUCUAGCCUAAUUGGACAAUUUACUCUGACCAAUCAACCUAACAACCAGCAUGCCAUUGGACUGUGGGAGGAAACCCAUGCAGUCAUUUCGAAAAUGUACAAACUCCUUACAGGCAGAGACGGGAAUUGAACCCUGGUCGUUGGUAACGAGUUAACCACUACACUACCAUGACUUGGAUCAAUUACCAUCCAAUGUUACGUUCAUGCUGAAUAUUGUGCUAUUUUCCAAGAUUAACUUCAUCAAGCGACUGUCAAGAAAAAUGUUAAUAUUUAAAAUUGACUGCAAUUAAUUUUUAACUAUUAAUUUAAAAUGUUAAUGGAAUAGAUCCUGGCAUUGCUUAUAGAUGAGAUCAUUCCUAAAGAUUUAAAAUUGCUUUCUUGAUAAUGAAACAAACAGCGAGUUCAACUAACAAAAUCUUAAAGGUGAAAAAUCAUUUUCUCUGUGAUAAUUGUGCGUCCACCUGCAGUUGGACAAAGCUGCACAAGUUACUUAAAGAUAAAAUUAGCAGUUCUCAUAAUUGUUUCUGGCAGCUGUACACAUGGAAAGACAGAUAUUUGGGAUUAUGGAUAUAGUUCAAUUUUAUUCUCUUUUUUUUCACUCCUCUCUAUUAGCUGUGAUUACCAUCAGAGACCUAGGAAGGCUGUCCUUUCAAUUUUUGCCUUGAUCGUGACCUCAAGGUUGUACUGGUGGCAUUGAGAAAUUUGAAUAAAUAGUGAGCCAUCCUCCAUUGUCCAUACCAGAGUUCAUACACACACAGUAUGCUUUGCACAUACAGCUGGAUGAAUUUCUACCCCAAAGGUUUUCAGAGUUAAUUAAUAAGGAAAUAAGAUAUCAACUUUCUUAUAAGACAGGAUGCAAGAACAUUGUUUCCAUGAUGGUAGAUUCAUUGAUGGUAAGCUAUUUAGUAAGGCUUUUUUUGUCUAGGGGCUUACAGCUGGAAGGAUACCACAUCUGACUGUUAAUGCAAUUAAUAAAAUGAAUAGCCACAUCUGGGAUCUGUGGAUGCAGGCACCAUAUCCAAUAUGUAGAGUUAGAGGUACCCAACAUCACUGCAGGGUAUGCUGUCACAAAUGCAACAAACGCUGGAUUAGUGACUUGACAUGAACACAAACUUCUGAUGCAUGAUUGAUACUGUAUAGAAAUGGCAAAAAAAAAACUUCUUUUCAAUUUACAGUACUUGAUUUGUUUCUCAAAUAGUUAAAGUUACUGAUAAAAAUGUCCGUAAAAAAAGAAUUUAAUUAGUGCAAGACUCAGUCUCACAGAAUAAAAUGUGCAGUUUCUAAAACUCUAAAUUCAUAAAAACCUAUUUAGAUGUCUGAUAUGAAAAAUAAUUAAAAUUACAAAGGCUGAAAUCUCCAAUGAAAAGAAAAUUGCUGAAAUAACCUUUCAAAUAGCAUCCAUGAAUAAAGAAACAACUUAGAAUCAUGGGUCAAAGAGUUUCAUCAGCACUUAUCCAUAAAAUUAAUGAAAUGUAUAUUAAAAUGCAUGCUUUUUAUUUCAUUCUUUGCUGACUUUGGGAAUUCUACAUUGGUUGCCAAAAGAACAACUCUUUGGCUGCAGAUGUCAAAAAUGGUACCAAUUUCAAUGUUAAGUCAGAGCAGAGAAACUCCAUGGCCUGAAUCCUAAAUCUUUGCUUCGGGUUUGUGUUUUGAAAGGCUAACCAUGAACAAUAUUUCUUGACCACUGACCACUGAAUUUGGAUCAUCAGUGCAGUAAUGAAGUGUGGAAACUGGAAAGAUAUUGCUGAUUUUGAACCUUGGGGACUCAUAAUGCAGUGGGAACUGGAUGGAUGGGGAGACUUACCUACUUGACUUUGGCAUUUUGUGGCCUAGGGAGGUUUAACUCCUCAGCCUCUCCCAUAUGGCUCUGGUAAGUCACCAGGAACAAAAUAUCAACAGGCAGCAAAAGUCAUUGUAAAAGACUGACAGGAUAGUUCUCAGCAACAGGUUAAAACAAGGAUGUGAAAAUUAGCGUGUUGUGGUCAAGGAGGAAGAGAGGUGGUGUACGUUGACAGAAAUGAAAAAGAAGUCCAAAAUCGAAUCCUUGGGCCUGUUCUGAGUAUGACCCCUCUUCCUGCUAUCUUCUGGCUUCUCUUCUCAGAUCACCAUUCAAAACUGUUGUGCCCCAAAUAAGGUUUCCAUUAUAAAGUCAGUGAGGGAUUGUCCAAGAAAAAUAUUCACCCAGAGCCAAGAUAAGCAAAGGGUUGCUUCACGUGGGACAAGAGACUGACGUGGGCUUUACAAGCUGAAUCACGAAGAUUGAUAGUCAGGAACAAAAACAACAGUUUCUAGCUGAACAGCGUUUUCUGCUGAUGAUUGAAGAUUAGACCCUCUGUAUCUGGGGUUCCCAACUCAGGGUCCACAGACCCUUGGUUAGUGGUAGGGGUCCAUGGUAUAAAAAAAGUUGGGAAGCCCAGCUCGACAUGCACUUGACACCAGAGUCUUAUAAUGGCUUCCAAUUCAGUUACAUUAGAUUGCUGGGAUAUUAUAAGUAAAACAAAAUAUGGCGAAAAAAUCUUUAUCACACAAUAUGGAUGCACUACACUUUGAGGAUUAAUGCAACGUUAAAUUAAAACACAUUACCUUUUAAGUGUAAAUGAGUGAAGGCUUUGGGAAAUGAAUAAAAGAUCCUUUAAUAUUUUUGGAGCUGCUUAACAAGCAAAGGGUCAGAAGAUGUUUGCACUUUAAAAAUCUGGUUCUGUCUUCAAUUUAUUUUGAUCUGAUGAUUAUAGUCAGUUAACUUGGGAGAAGGAUUCAAGUAAUCAAAUGGUUUCAAUGUGUGCGCAGACUUUUUGCCAGCAUGGUUAUGGAUAACACCAAUAAUUUUACAGUGCCUGUAAUUAUCCAAGUUGGAAACAGAUAGGGAUUGCAAUCGGCGCUGUAGCACAGAUGGUACAAGACUGAUGGCUGCAGACAAUGAGGCAGUGUUUCCAAAUGUCUUAAAAGGCCAAGAUAUCUGGACUAGAUAUUUGGGUUUCUUUGCCAUUAAAUUUGCAAUGGAAUAUCACAGCUGUUCAAGAUUUGCUAAAUAGUAUACAAUUUUGAAGAGGUGUUUUAGUAAUUCCCUGCUUUAUUGUGACAUUUUUACUUUUUAGCAGUUCAAAUAACAGUGCAAGAUAGCCCCUAAUUACAGGAAACAUACUUUAUCGCUAUCUACUACGAAGCCUAAAGGCAGGUUACGCAGGUCUACUUAGUGGUUAGCAGAACAUUCCUCUUCACCAUCAGUGCAGAAGACAGAAUCAGAAUCAGGUUUAAUAUCACCGGCAUAUGUGAAAUUUGUUGACUUUGCAACAGCAGUUCAAUGCAAUAUAUAAUAGGAAAAAACUGUGAAUUACAGUAAAUAUGUGUAUAUUAAAUAGUUAAGUUAAAUAAGUCACGUAAAAAUGGAAAUAAAAAAAUAGUGAGGUAGUGUUUAUGGGUUCAAUGUCCAUUCAGAAAUUCAUUGAAAGAGGAGAGGAGUCUGCUUCUGCAUCAUUGAGUGUGUGCCUUCACGCUUCUGUACCUCCUUCCUGGGUGAUGGGGGUCCUUAAUGACGGAUACCGCCCUUUUGAGGCAUCGCUCAAUGAAGAUGUCCUGGAUACUAUGGAGGCUAGUGCCCAUGAUGGAGCUGUCUAAGUUUGCAACUCACCACAGCUUACUUUGAUCCUGUGCAGUAGCCUAUUCCUCCCCCCCCCCACCAUAUCAAACAGUUAAAAUGCUCUCCACCAUACAAUUGUAGAAAUUUGCGAGUGUUUUAGGUGACAUACCAAAUCUUCUCAAACUCCUAAUGAAAUAUAGCCACUGUCGUGCCUUCUUUGCAGCUGCAUCGAUAUGUUGGGUCCAGGUUAGGUUCUCAGAUACUGACAUCCAAGAACUUGGCAUUGUUCACUCUUUCAACUUCUGAUCCCUCUAUGAGGGCGCAUGUCCCGUUGGCUUACCCUUUCUGAAGUCCACACGUAGUUUUUUGGUCUUACUGAUGUUGAGUGCAAGAGCAGAUGAGCAGAUCUGGAGGAAAUUCUAGCAGCAAGUGUGAUUAUAUUUACAUUUACUAAGGACUGAAAUGUGACAGGCUAAUGGAGUCAGAGAGUUUAGUACUGUACAGCACUAAGACAGUUUUGUCUCACCAAAUCCACGCCAUUGACAUUAGUCCCACUUGCCAGCAUUAGGUCUGUAUCGUUUCAUGCCUACUCAAAUGUAUGUAUAAAUAGUGCUUAAACAAACUGAUUAGGACUGAUUCCCUCCAGGAGGACACCAUCCUUGUCGUAGGGCUUGGAGAUUUGUGAUGCCUCAGUGACCCAGACAGCUAUGUUGGCUGGAGUCAGGGCUUUACGCUUUGGCUCUUGGUUGGGCCACCCAUGCCAAGCAGGUCAAAGGGUAGAGGACAGACCACCGCUCCUCCAGGUUUGGGGGUUCAUCUCAGGGCUAACAGCCCAGACUGGUAAAACAAAACUGUUAUGGAAACAGCAAUGAAGAAUCCUUCUAUGUCUGUGCGUGAUGGUAUUCCUGAGUCUCUACCCAGGACCUGCAUGACUGACAGUUUGAAAACCGAGAGGAAGCUACAGGCAUGAUGAAGGAAGCCCUGAGCAAUGCCAGAGAUCGAGGACCUCAUUGCUGUCCUAAACACCAGUGGCAUAACAGGCAGUAGAGUAUAGAGAGCCUGAUUUCCCCAUCUUAACCAACUGCAAUUGCCGGAUAUCAACCACUCUCAGUGUAAAAAACUCUUCCCCUCAAAUUCCCUCCAAAACUUCUUCCUCUCAUCAUAAACUUGUGCCUUUUUUAUAUUUCUACCAGCAGAAAAAUAUUCUAUCUACCCUCUCUAUGCCUCUUAUAAUUUUCUCUAUCUCUAUCAGGACACCGUUCAGCUUUCUUCGCUCCAGAAAAAACAAGCCCAAUGUAACCAAUCUUUCCCUAUAACUAAAGUCUUCCAAUUGAGCAAUAUCUUGUCUGUAUGCUCUCCAAUGUAAGCACAUCCUUCCAAUAGUCUGCUGACCAGACAUACACACAACUGUGGCCUCACCACUGUUUUGUAAAGUUGCAACAUAACAUCCCAACAUUGAUCAUCUAUGCCAGGGAUUCCCAACAUUUUUUUAUGCCAUGGACCAAUACCAUUGAACAAGGUGUCCAGCGGACCUAGGUUUAGAACCCCGUAAAUCUAUGCCCUGACUUCUGAAGGUAAGCAUGCCUUCUACGUGCUUUAACAUCCUAUCUACCCACAUUGCUAUGUAUGGGGAAUUAUAGACUUGAACUCCCAACGUCCAUCCAUUGAACAAAUUUCCUUUUACCAUAAACAUCACACUCCAAUUUAACUUCACAGAAUACAUUAUCUCACAGAAUACAUUAUCUCACACUUAUCAUGAUUAAAUUCCAUCUGCCAAUGCUCCAUCUGACUUUUAAUCUGGUCCCUAUCCUGCUGCAGCAUUUAACAAUCUUCCUCAAUAUUCACAUCGCCAACUUUUGUGUCCAUAGACUUACUAUUCACAUCCAUUUGUCUAUAAAUAUUCCCACAUCAACCCCUCUCUCCUUAGUUCUCUGUACGCACUGCGACUUUUUCUUACUUACAGACUGACUAAUUUCCUUUUUGAUUCCUUUGUCACUUUUUUAUUUCAGAGCUAUUUACAUUAGCCAAUUAAUGUACAUGGGUGGUUGGGUAGA